rnacentral:tRNA from 1 species
GACUAUGUCUUAAAAGUUUGGUAACAUAAGACUCAGGAUCCUGUGGGAGCAAUCCCGUGCGGGUUCAAAUCCCGCCCCGGGCACCA